rnacentral:lncRNA from 10 species
GUUGUGAGCUUGCAGAACAGCUGUGAUCUCUGUUUAUAGGGCUUACCAUUAUUUGAGUGUCUGUGCUCUGCCUCAUGGGCUAUAAAGUAAGCCAAGUCAUCCUGUUUGCUCAUGGUAAAAUAUUACAAAUUAAGUCAAUAAAUGCACUUCUCCCAACUGAAAAUCUGCACCCCUCUGGACAUCACAGAGCUAUCUGAUACCUUGUCUUUCUGUACUCUGGUCUCUAGGUUCCUUGCAAUCUGCAACUUGAUUGAAAAAUUCCCAGUUCUAUAUUCUUCUGUAUGAAGAAGUAGUACUGCAUCUGUAAGCCAGAUCCUUGUUUCCUCCUGCUUACUUUAUCUUUUCCCAUAUCGUUCUAGGAAGACAUGUUUGCCUUCUCAGUCUGCGGAGAAAAUUAGAUAAGUAUUAUAUGUUGCUUUUAAUAUCUAUCCAGACAAUUACAUCAAAAACUUUUAAGUGCUUCUCUUCUGUUCCCUAUUUGACUGCCUGCAGCAUUUCUCAACUAAAAGCUCUCUUUCCAAACUUUGCUUUAAUUGUUAAUAGGCAUCUGCUGAGAAGGCUUAACUUUGCUUUAUGGCAUGGUGUGGGAGAUUUCGAUGUGCCUCAGCUUGUUUGUGGCAGAACUUGGGGAAUGGUGAGAAAUUAGAUAACAGUCUGUUGAGCCCUAAACAUACAUCAGUAAGAGAUCACUGCAGAAAUAAUAGCUGACAUUUGAAAAGCAUUUCAUAAUGUUAUACUAACCAACCUUCCUGGGUUAAGAACUAGAUUGAGCAGCACACAAUCCCCAUGAAAAUGUUCUCAAUUUACUACUAGCUGAGAGCCCUGCUGCAGUUCUGUUAUUAACUGCUCCACUAUGGCAAAAGGAUAGAGGAGAAUGUUGAACAGGGCUUUUCUAAUUAGUGUUUGUGGUGCUAGUCUGCUGGCUGACCUUGAAAUUGGAAUAAGGCAGGUCAGACAUUAAAACUCAGAGAAAGAAAUCAGAAUUCUUUAACUCUCUUCUCUCUAUACUAUCUUUAACUCCACUUCUCGACUCGUCUACUCUACUUCUCUCAUACUAUCAUAGACCUACAACUGGGCAACCCUUCAUACUCUAUGUUUAUUUGUCUUAUACUUUUACAAGGCUUAAUAAAACUCCAGCUUACUAGCCAACCAACAUGAGAGUUUUUCUGAUUCUCCAUAAUGACUUCUAAAUGUCAAAUGAGUAAGAUUCAGUUUAUCCAGUUCCUUAGGCAAGAUAACAAGCCCCCGAUUUCUAAUAAUGUAGGAAGCUUGUUACUUUUUAACAACUGGCCUUGAAGACCUGGGUGGUUCCCAAAACCCCUUAAUUUGACUGCAAAGAUGAGUCACUGAAAACUCUGUCAUCAACCAUACUAUGGGGACAGUGCUAACAGAGAUCCUUGAAAUUCCCAGAUAAUCCCCAAACUACCAUUUGGCUACCAGCUUUAGCCUCUUAACUUAAAUCUUCACUAGAACUGCUAACAACAUUACACUGAUAAAAGCUUCAAAAGAGCUAGCAUAUUUCUGAGAAGUGUUAACUUGGGGAUGUAUCAAGAAUUGGGCCAUAGAAAGAAGUUAUAGAAGCAAAAAUUGAAUAUUCAUUCUUGUAUAACAAAUGCAUUGUAGAGUUUUGAGUACUUAUUGCAUCAUUUAAUUGUCAGUAGAAUAGUUUGAUUUAAGCUAUAUAACAGUUUUAUCAUUUAUUUGUAAGCCUUAACUAGGUAGAAAUAUCUUUUUAUAGAAUUUAAACAAUAUAUUAGGAGCAGAAACUGACUUGCUGAGAAAUUGCUGGGUCUUUCCAGAGGUCGUAUGAAUAGAUUCUUAGACAAAACAGAAGUCUAAUUCUAGAAAACUGUCUAGUUUUCAAAUGUCUAUUAUAAUCUAUCUCUGAGUCUUAAGUGUUAAGGCCUACUGCUCUUCUCAUUGUGUUAAUGGGCUUUUGCUUGUGCGCCGCAGAGACUAAUUUUCUUUCCCAUAUAGAUAUAAAUAAGGACAAUGGUACAAAAGAGAAAAUGGUGAGGGAGGCCUUGGAGCUAGAGUUGGGAGCCUUGUAGGAUUCCCUGGGUUCCUCAGAAAGCGCUCCCUAAUGUGGAAAACCAAAGUCAGGUAAAUGGAAGAGGAAAUGUUAAAGGAGAAUUACUUUCUGGUAUUUAUGCUACUUUCAUAGACAUCUUUUAUAGCUCCUGCAAAGGCAAGAAGGAAAUCAUUAUGCACUUUGUAUAGUGACCCAAGCCCUGGCAUGGAAAUUAAAAUACUUGCUAUUAACUCUAACUCUGCCACUAAAGUGUGUGGCCUCAGGCAUGCUAUUUCUUUUCCUCCAUCUCUUUAUUUGUAAAGUGAGUAGUGUAAACCAUGGGUGAAACACUCAUUUUCUGCCCAAACAUUUGAUGUUAGAAACCUUGUGAUAUAAUGGAAAUACCACACAUUUAGGAAUAUAAGCAAAUUUCUAGUUAUAUGUUGUGUAACACUGAUUGAGUGAGCUCUUUUAGUUUCUUAUCAGUAAAAUAAAUAGAUUAACACACACUUUGCAGGGCAGCUGUGAAAAUAAAAGAUAACAUAUAAUAAAUACCAGGAAAUGUGCCCAGAAUGUAGAACAGCUUUACAUUAAAAAACAAUGUUUAUUCAAUGAUGCCAUGACCUGGUCCUAAAUGGCCCUGCAUUGCAGGUUGAGUUGUAAGUCUGACUUCUGUCUCCAUGGAUUAAGCAGCAUGGAGUCUGUGUUACUACCUGAGAGUAAAAGCGAUUCAAAGCUCUUGGCUCUGUCUAUGAAUGAAUGCAAAGGCAAUUCUCUCCCAGGACCUCUUGGAAAUGCUAUGGGAGAUUAGAGGCCCAUUGCACAAUCAUGCCUUAACUCAGCCUCUAUGGCCCUGGGACCUCUCUAACCCCUCUCUAACCCCUCUCAGCUAUGUUGAAAGCUCUGCUGGUGAAGGAAAAUGUAGUGAAGCAUGGCAAGCUACUUUACUCACACCAAGAAAUGCAAAGCCCUGACAAUGUAGAGGGGUUCCAGAAUAAGUCUUUGAAUCCUUUUUCUGAUAUUCUCAAAUACUUGUGUUGAGAAUUGGGCAGGAUGCUGAGGGGUGGGGAGUAGGCAAAAGAUGGCGAAAGACAUCCACUUCAGCGAACCUCUAAUGUUUCCCAUUCAGUUGGGAAUCUAAUGUUUCAGAUUCAGUUGGGAAUCUGUCAAAAAACGGGCUACAUCUUAGGGGAAAUAAUCCAUCUUUUAAAAGUUUCCAUCAACAACAAACUUCUCUCAUUUACAAGAAAAUGCAUCAUUUGACACCUUGGAGAUUUUACCUGGAGGAAGAUAAUUUCUUGAAGCUUCUUGUGCCUGUGAGAGCCCAAAGCUAUUUUGCAGCUGCAAUAUUGAUAAUGUAUUCACAUUCUCCCCAGAGCACUGGAUUCUUUAACCUUAAUAUUGAGUCUGGAAUGAGAUUCUGUCCUCUAGAGGUCACCAAUGCACCAGAUUUGAAGGCCACGGAGGCUUCUAAAAUGCUCAGGAAGAGCUAGGUGUCCUGUUCACAUAUGAAUGAAAGAGAAAAUAAGGUGUCCAAUGAGGAACUUGGGUUUUAUGAACACUAAGUCCCUACCAAUCCCAACAGUAUGUCUGAAUCUCUGAGUUCCCAUAAGAAGAAAGAUUCUUCUCAAAAUAAAUCACUAAUAAGGGAAAUUUGGUGACUGAUUGAAGCUAAGGAAGAUAACCUCAUUUCUACUUCUGUAAGGAGGAAAAUACCCUCUCUGCCAAAGAUCCAGAGCUCAGUACCUGCACAGAUGUUCUUAUGGCCCAAGGAAAUCCUUCUCCACAUCUCUUGCCCUAUUACCUUGAAAGAAAAAGUGGCUGCCCCAAAUCCCCAAACGCCAUGAACAUUGAAGGAUGGUGCCCCUGUCCAUGUUGCAUUUGGAUGCCUCUUUGGAGUAUCAGGAGGAUUUGAGCAGUGGAAGCUCUUAAGAAAGAAAAUACAAAUUAUUUUAAGAAGAAAACAACCCCAUCAAAAAGUGGGUGAAGGAUAUGAACAGACACUUCUCAAAAGAAGACAUUUAUGCAGCCAAAAGACACAUGAAAAAAUGCUCA